AGUGAACGCUGGCGGUAGGCCUAACACAUGCAAGUCGAACGGCAGCGCAGUAAGAGCUUGCUCUUACGGGUGGCGAGUGGCGGACGAGUGAGGAAUACAUCGGAAUCUACUUUUUCGUGGGGGAUAACGUAGGGAAACUUACGCUAAUACCGCAUACGACCUACGGGUGAAAGCAGGGGAUCUUCGGACCUUGCGCGAUUGAAUGAGCCGAUGUCGGAUUAGCUAGUUGGCGGGGUAAAGGCCCACCAGGGCGACGAUCCGUAGCUGGUCUGAGAGGAUGAUCAGCCACACUGGAACUGAGACACGGUCCAGACUCCUACGGGAGGCAGCAGUGGGGAAUAUUGGACAAUGGGCGCAAGCCUGAUCCAGCCAUACCGCGUGGGUGAAGAAGGCCUUCGGGUUGUAAAGCCCUUUUGUUGGGAAAGAAAAGCAGCAGGUUAAUACCCCGCUGUUCUGACGGUACCCAAAGAAUAAGCACCGGCUAACUUCGUG
rnacentral:rRNA from 1 species